AGCACCAGCAAGACAGUUUCAAGCACAUUCCACCUGCACCAUGCCAAUUCUAAGAGGGAACUAAAAUGAAUGGCCAGAGGCUGAAACAUGAAACAUAUCCAGUUUACUUAGGCAUGACCCUCGACUGAACACUGACAUACAAAAGUGACCUAAGCAAGAUAGCAGCGAAGAUCAAGGCAUGCAAUAACCACCUCAGCAAACAGGCAGGAACUUUAUGGGGAGUGGAUGCUCCAACACUAAGGACUCAGCCCUUGCCAUUUUGUACUCAAUAGCAGAGCACUGUGUGUCAGUAUGGAGUCAGUUGGCACACACCAAACUUGUUGAUGUGCAACUCAACUCAACAAUGCACAUCAUCACAGGAUGACUCUGACUGACUCAUCUUCCAUGGCUUCCAGUUCUGAGCCACAUUGCUCCCUCCCUUUUACAUCAGGUGGGAGGUUACAGUUGAAAAGCUGCUUGAGAAGGAUCCAAAAUAAAGAGAUGUCCUGAGGAAUUUGGUCUUCAACCACCGAGAUCAUUGUACACUUAUCAGAAUGAAGUAUUAUUGAAGCAGGAAACUUGAGAGAAGACAGAUUUACCCCUAAUGCAUUCACACCAAACUCUGUCUUUUACACAAAGCCAGCAGUAGAAAACAAACUUUGGCUUUGAUAAUUAAAGUUUAUUAUCGCUGCUGAAAUAAAAGCUUUGUUGUAUAAGAAAUAGAUAAAUAAAGCAAGGCUGCAUUAACCUCA